AACGUAGGAGGCGAGCGUUAUCCGGAUUUACUGGGCGUAAAGCGCGUGUAGGCGGCACGGCAAGUUGGAUGUGAAAGCUCCCGGCUUAACUGGGAGAGGUCGUUCAAAACUGCCGAGCUAGAGUGCGGGAGAGGGAGGUGGAAUUCCGGGUGUAGUGGUGAAAUGCGUAGAUAUCCGGAGGAACACCAGUGGCGAAAGCGGCCUCCUGGUCCGCAACUGACGCUCAGACGCGAAAGCUAGGGUAGCAAACGGG
rnacentral:rRNA from 1 species